AAUAGAUACCCGGGUAGUCCACGCCGUAAACGAUGGGUACUAGGUGUAGGGGGUAUCGACUCCCCCUGUGCCGCCGUUAACACAAUAAGUACCCCGCCUGGGGAGUACGGUCGCAAGAUUAAAACUCAAAGGAAUUGACGGGGGGCCCGCACAAGCAGCGGAGCAUGUGGUUUAAUUCGAAGCAACGCGAAGAACCUUACCUAGACUUGACAUCUCCUGCAUUACUCUUAAUCGAGGAAGUUCUCCCUUCGGGGAGGACAGGAAGACAGGUGGUGCAUGGUUGUCGUCAGCUCGUGUCGUGAGAUGUUGGGUUAAGUCCCGCAACGAGCGCAACCCUUAUUGUUAGUUGCUACCAUUUAGUUGAGCACUCUAGCAAGACUGCCGUGGUUAACGCGGAGGAAGGUGGGGAUGACGUCAAAUCAUCAUGCCCCUUAUGUCUAGGGCUACACACGUGCUACAAUGGCGAGUACAAAGAGACGCAAAGCCGCAAGGUGGAGCAAAACUUAUAAAACUCGUCUCAGUUCGGAUUGCAGGCUGAAACUCG
rnacentral:rRNA from 1 species